rnacentral:rRNA from 1 species
CCUACGGGAGGCAGCAGUGGGGAAUAUUGCACAAUGGGGGAAACCCUGAUGCAGCGACGCCGCGUGGGUGAUGAAGUAUUUCGGUUUGUAAAGCUCUUUCAUCAGGGAAGAUAAUGACGGUAUCUGACUAAGAAGCCCCGGCUAACUACGUGCCAGCAGCCGCGGUAAUACGGAGGGGGCAAGCGUUAGCCGGAUUUACUGGGCGUAAAGGGAGCGUAGACGGUUAAUCAAGUCAGAAGUGAAAACCUAGGGCUCAACCAUAGAACUGCUUUUGAAACUGAUAAUCUAGAGUACAGGAGAGGUAGGCGGAAUUCUUGGUGUAGGGGUGAAAUGCGUAGAGAUUAGGAGGAACACCAGUGGCGAAGGCGGCUUACUGGACUGUAACUGACGUUGAGGCGCGAAAGCGUGGGGAGCAAACAGGAUUAGAUACCCUUGUAGUC